GCUCCACCGGUAAGGCAAGGGGUCUCGGGGCCGGCCGGUCGACUCCGCCCCAGCCUCAGAGGGUGGAGUGAGGGCGGACCGGCCCUGGUGGGGGCCGCAGUCGAGGUCCGCAGUCUCCUCGGGGUCGAAAUCGGGCAUCAGCGCCGUUUAGAGAACACCGUCCUGCUGGGCAUGGCCGGGAUGCGAAGAUGGCCCUGCAACGCACCUCCUAGAAUUUGGUUACCUAGAAAACCAUGUGGAAUAAAACGACGAGGCUUAUGAUAUUUAAAAGACUUCUGCAUCGAAUUGGUGUUAUCAUAAGGGUUAUUUUAAUAACUGGCAUUCUCUAAGUUUCUACACGUGUUGGGGGAUGCAGUGCCGUGCCACAUUUCCCGUCUCCAGCAAGCGCAGUCAGAUUGGCGACAUCGCAGGCAAGAGGCAGGGCUGGGGCUCCCACCCGAGAAGUAAUUGUCUCCAAAGUUGGACUUUUGCCACUGGUUCUGCGACUUCAUGCAAUGCCAGGGAGAGCCCCUUGAUUUCCCCCAAAUCCUCAUCAGCCUCUUUCCACCCAAGCCCAGAUGAACAGUGUGAGUAAAAAAGAGUGUGGUUGCUGCGUGAACCCAGAUCUCAGACUAGUCAUCCAGCCCCAUUAUGUAGGACUCAGACACCCCUGUCCACAUCUAACCUCCAGCCCUAACGCCACAUUAGAAAUGGGGGUCUUACUGCUGCUGUCACUCCUAGUCACCCUGUUAAAUUCUAUACCGGUUUACCCAAGUCGCCCAGAGACUGGGCCCCACUUACAUAAGCUGAAGAGACCAGCUGCUUUAAUAGCCUCAUUACCUAGGAUAUAGGAUCACUGUCCAACCUCACUCCACAGUGGGCAAGUUUUUACUUCAGAAUAACUUUUGAAAUAAAUUUCCCCGGAACAGCUCGCCCCUCUCAACAGGACUCUGAGGCUCCACUACGUUGCUGUUAUUCCUGACAGAGUGAUGAAAGGAAAUUUAAACAAGUGGCAUUUUGUAAAACCACCCCAGCCUGUGUGACUUUCAAUGCCUGUCCGAUUUGGCUGGGAAAAUAUUUUAGAUCCCCAGGGCUACAUACUGUUUUUUAUACCCUCCUCUUUGUGUCAGUGAUGGAAAAGGUGUCAAUCUGCUCUGAAUCUCUCUGAACACCUCAGGAAAUAGGCUUUUGGCUCGCAGAGAGGGGAUGAGAAAUAGUUUUGAACCACCAAGUCUCUUGGAGGGUGUCAGCAGCCCCUUGAAGUAAAAGUGUGGCUGCAAACCCAGCUCUCUGCAUUAGCCAGGUGAACCUGAGCAUGCUGCAUACACCCUCAGUCUUGGUUUCUUAAUAUGUAAAAUGGGAAUGAAUAUGCGCACCUCGUGGGGUGGUUGUGAUUAAAGGCAUUCAUUAUAAA
rnacentral:lncRNA from 10 species